UGCGGGAAGCCGACUAAGUGUCGAACCGGAAGUGCGUCAUCCGCCAGCGCCGACCCCGUGCGCCGCGAGGCCUGUGCGGAGUCCGAGUGCUGCCAUGGCUUCCAGCGGGGUGGCGGUGAGCGCUGCCGGCUCGGCAAAUGAAGCCCCCGAAAUGCCGGACAGUGUGGGAGAUUGGCUGCGGGGUGUCUACCGCUUCGCCACGGAUAGGAAUGACUUUCGGAGGAACUUGAUCCUUAAUCUGGGACUCUUUGCAGCAGGAGUUUGGCUGGCCAGGAACUUGAGUGACAUCGAUCUAAUGGCACCUCAGCCAGGGGCAUAGCCAAGGAGGUCUCAGAUCUAUGGAACUGGUAUGGAUUAAAGGACAUGACUUGGAAAGAAGGAUCAGUGUGCAAGAAAGAAGCUGCUGGCUCCGAAGCUGCCUGCUGCACCAAGAUGAGAACAGGCAUUCAGAGAAGCCCUGGACCACCAGCUGUCCCUGUCCACCUUCCAGAGUUCUGAGAAAGCCUCAGACACCUGACUAAGGACCAAUUUGCACUAGACCUGAACCAGGGAGCUGCUACAGAACUGGGAUGGCCAGGGGUGCCCUUUGGCUCAGCACGUAACCAAGAACAUCGCUUCCUUAUAUGAGCUGCCCCUUGUUUAGAAUAAAGGGAUGGUCAUACGGUC